rnacentral:lncRNA from 1 species
UCUCCUUAACUUGUUUCUUAACUACCAUUUUUCGGUUUCAUCCACUCAAAUGAACAAUUCCUUUGGCCAAUUAUAUCUGGUUUUUUCUGUUUCUCUACAAGCACCUGUAUUGCUAUGACUCCUGGACUCAAGAUGUCACAGCUCCCAGAGGUCCUAACCAAAUCCUGAGCACCUCCAAGCUGGGAGACCUUCCCGAGCCUAUGCUCUGGGCUCCUGACUGAGCGAUGGAUGUUAUGUGCAGCCUCUACUCAAUUGCCCCAAGGUCCCCCCAUGUUUUACCUUCCACGAAGGGAAAACUCACCUUGGGGACCUGGGGACCUCGAGCUAAAUGAUGAUUGAUCUGUUGCAUGAUGUGGAUUGGGAACAAGGUUGGCAAAUUCAAUGCAGGCUAUGACUUCUGGGAUCUUCACCUCCCUCCUCCUCUAGCAAACACCUGGUGUCCUGGAAAUAUAACUUGAGAUUUUGAACACAGGACUCCAGAAGCCCUGAGAGAGCAUAAAAAACACAGAAUAAAAAAGGUGAUGACCUGAUUCGUUUUCAUUGCAGUCCCUACCAUGUACUAACUCUAACUUAAUUGAGUCUCCUGACAUCUUUGAGGCUCGGGUUUGUUACAUAGAAAAUAAAGAGAGAGGAUUUUUCUACCUCUAAAACAUUCUAA